rnacentral:lncRNA from 1 species
AAAAGUAGAAGGAUUUGGGCUGGCACCUUCUUUGGAUCUUCAGAUCGAAAUCUUUGAAAGGCAAGUUUUCCGAUCGUUUCUCCUAUAAUUGCUCUAAUUUUUCUUAUUGCAAGUGUUCCGAUCCUUCCUAUUGCAAGCUUUCUAAUCUUUCCUAUUGCAAGUGUCCUGAUCUUUCCAUACUGUAAUUCUAUCUCUACAUUUGAUUUAAAUAUGAGGAACUUUGAAUUGUUCUAGCCUUGCAUUUGAUAUAUCUCUUGUUUAGAUAUAUCGAUCUGAAUCUGUGCAACGUCUGAGAUUCUGACCUUUCUACCUUGUUAUGAUUAUAACUUCAUGUAUUGACCUCUGAUUUGGACAAAAAUUAUUUGAUCAGAAUAUAGACUCAUAAACUUUUCUUUUGAUAGCUUUCUUGAGUAUAUUGGAGCACGAUUGAUAGAUUGAAUCAUUUGUUCAAUGUGCCUCUUGAAUUCUAUUAGAAAUCGAGCUUUGGUCGAUUUCGCAUAUUCUGGUUUCAUUCCUUUGAAAAUUGAUAUCCUUUGGCUUUCUUAUUCAAUUGAGCUUUAUAUUACUGCUUUGAAUUCUUGUAUGCUCUUGUCCUACAUGUAUUUGGAUACCUAAAUCGGUUAUGUAAACUUCAUGUUUGUAUCGUAAUGUUUCAUAAAGGCACAUGUACAUUUCGUUGUUCCGCAUGUGCUUCCGAUAUGUCCCAAUUUAUUGUUCACAAUACCCUUUUGUACUCUGGUGUUUGUGGGAUUAUUUGGACCUUUGCCAGAAAUGGUAAAGGGUAUAUGCUUAGAGCUCGCGAUGCUCUAGAUAAUGUUUGGUGGUCAUUCAGAAAUGGAUGGACCAUAUUAUGUUUGGAAUCCCACUUCACCAUCUAUCUAUUUGAUAUGAAAUUCAGAGCCGACCAAGCACUUGGGUAGGGUGAGAGGGCUCGAGUAGGAAAGGGCUACCCGUGGAUGGAGUCGAGAACUCAUCACGGCGUGGAGCCACCACUGAGUUAAACCUCACAUGCACUAUGCUAGGGUACGACGUCUGAGCUUCUAUUUCGUAUUCGUUCUUUAAUAUUCUUUGAAAUGGUCCAUAUGCUAUUGAUAUGUUCCGAAAUGUUUCAUUUGUCAUUGAUAUGCUCCGAAACAUUUCAUAGGCCAUUGAUAUGCUCCGAAAUAUUCCAUCUGUUAUUGUUAUGCUUCGAAAUGUUCCAUAUCAUUGAUAUGCUCCGGAACAUUUCAUACGCCAUUGAUAUGCUCCGAAAUGCUUCAUCUGCUAUUGUCUCAAAUUAUUGUUCACAAUACCCUUUUGUACUCUGGUGUUUGUGGGAUUAUUUGGACCUUUGCCAGAAAUGGUAAAGGGUAUGUGCUUAGAGCCUACGAUGCUCUAGAUUAUGUUUGGUGGUCAUUCAGAAAUGGAUGGACCAUAUUAUGUUUGGAAUCCCAUUUCAUCUUCUAUUUGUUUCAUCUGUUAUUGUUACGCUUCGAAAUGUUUUAUAUAUCAUUGAUAUGCUCCAAAACAUUUCAUACACUAUUGAUAUGCUUCAAUUACUCUGUGCUCCAUUUGCUAUGAACUGAUAUAUUUUGAAAUGUCCUAUUUGCCAUUAAUAUGCUCUGGAUCAUCUCGUACGCUAUUGAUAUGCUCCAAUUACUCUAUGCUCCAUUUGUUAUGAACCAAAUAUGUUAUGAAUGAAAUGACAUUUGCGAUUCUGUAUCUAAUGAGAUGAUAUCCUUGAAUCUCUUGGAUUCUGUCUUGCAUUGUGAUAUCUUGUUUGUUUAAAACUGUCCCUUCUCGUGCUAUAUAUGCUUUGUUACUUGCUGAGCUAUUUUUAGCUCACUCUGUUAUUAUAUAAAUCUUUCAGGUCAGCUUGUCACUCUUUGAGAUGUUUGAAUUGGGCUGAGGCAGUGGAGAGCUAUUCUGAAUUAUGGGCAAGUCUUGUUGGGUAUUAUGUUAUUGUUGUAUAAGCAUAUUUUGUAUGUAAUGAAAUGUUGUCGAUGAACCGAAAUGGAUAUACCUUGUAAAAGUGUUAGAAGAUCUCUCUUAUUUGGAAUUUUGGAAUGUUAAGUCUAGUUUACGAUGAUAUGAACUUGUGGUAAAUGGUUGGAGUUCUGACUGUAUAAAUUACUUAGCUUGUGGAUU